GUGUGAACGAUCGGCUAGUGCUUUCGUGCCGCGCGGUUUGCCAAGUGCGUUGUGCCAACAGGAUUCGUAUGUUUGUAAUUGCGCAGAUUUCAGGUUAAUUUCUCUCCAUAGAAGGCAAUACCUGACGAAGGGGGUAAACUCUACCCUGGAUGACCUAUCUCGCCCUCACUCCUUUCUGGUCGUUUCUUUGAGACACACGCAUGUCUCUCUGCCUACCAUAGGCCUAACAAAGCCAGACACCAUCUUAGAGGAUCAAGCUACAUACCAAAAGGCAUCCAGAUUCCUGCUGCCCUGAUUCCAGUGCCACCAUUUCCUUGUCAAGCAUACCUACUUACAAUAGAAGUUACCAGGCCCAGAGGGCCCCAUUUGCAUUCAACAUUUAUUCAGCAAACCGGUCUUGCGCAGAAAUCUUGAGUUAUAUCCAUAUCACAUGUAAUGCAACAGCCCAUUAUCGAUUUGGCCAUUGUGAAUCAUAAAAGUAACUUAUCACAGCAUUUAUUCAC